UACGUAGGGUGCGAGCGUUAAUCGGAAUUACUGGGCGUAAAGCGUGCGCAGGCGGUUUUGUAAGACAGGCGUGAAAUCCCCGGGCUCAACCUGGGAAUGGCGCUUGUGACUGCAAAGCUGGAGUGCGGCAGGAGGGGGAUGGAAUUCCGCGGUGUAGCAGUGAAAUGCGUAGAUAUGCGGAGGAACACCGAUGGCGAAGGCAAUCCCCUGGGCCUGCACUGACGCUCAGUGCACGAAAGCGUGGGGAGCAAACAGG
rnacentral:rRNA from 1 species